CUCUGAGCACAGCACUAUCCGCAGCGCUUUGAGGGGAGCGCAGCUCGGAGCGGCCCUUCGGCGACUGGUUUCUACCCUAGGUAUGGACCUCUUUGCUCAUGUAAUGGGAUGAAGUAAGGAAGAGAUGUGGAAAGCCAAGCAAGCUUGCACCCUGCACUUAUGUCUGUAUAGGAAGAGAUGGAAUAUUUUAUUUGCCUUUUAUAUGUACAUACAUAUGUGUUGUGUGUUUGGGUUACUUUCCUUGGGCGUGUUUCCUGGGAAGCACUGGAGAGGAUGAGCUCCCAGAAGCUGAGAGGUGCUAGGCUCCCAGAGAACUCAGCCAAGGUUGUUGCAGCCAGUCCUGAACUUGGGGUGACGUCCCUACGGGGAUCACAGUGAUGAGCCCAGCUGUAACCGGCCUUUGGAACAGCCGGGACAUAUGCCCUUGAGAGCAGAAACCCAGGAAUCUGCAGAGCAGUUUUCAAAGCCACAGCCUUUCCAGGCCUUAAAACUACAAAUUAU
rnacentral:lncRNA from 1 species